AGGGCUCCUCAUUAAGGUGGGUGGGAUAGUAUAACAAUGUCGCGUGUGUUGUUAUAAUAUUCCACCUUCCCUGAUGGCCCC
rnacentral:pre_miRNA from 12 species